AUGAUUUUCUUACGCCGCGGCGGAAAUGAGAGAGACGGAAUCAGAUCACGAUUGAAUGUCAAUGAGAGAAAAGUGUAUGGAUGUGACAAAAAUGAAGAAGAAGAUGGAACCGGUAUUGCACUGCCGGUGAAGCUUCAGAGAAGAAGAAGACAACUUCACAUGGAAUGGGGAACGUCACAAACCCUCCUCAACCCUAUCUCCUCAAUACGCCACUGUUUGCCCUUCUUUGCUAGUUGA